rnacentral:rRNA from 1 species
GACGAACGCUGGCGGCGUGCUUAACACAUGCAAGUCGAACGGGAUUUAGUAGACAGAAGCCUCGGCUAAAGAUUACUAAUGAGAGUGGCGAACGGGUGAGUAACGCGUGAGCAACCUGCCUAUGACAGUGGGAUAGCCUCGGGAAACCGGGAUUAAUACCGCAUAAAAUCGUAGAAACACAUGUUUUAAAGGUUAAAGAUUUAUCGGUCAUAGAUGGGGUCGCGUCUGAUUAGCUAGUUGGUGAGAUAACAGCCCACCAAGGCGACGAUCAGUAGCCGGUCUGAGAGGAUGAACGGCCACAUUGGAACUGAGACACGGUCCAAACUCCUACGGGAGGCAGCAGUGGGGAAUAUUGCACAAUGGGGGAAACCCUGAUGCAGCGACGCCGCGUGAACGAAGAAGGUAUUCGUAUCGUAAAGUUCUGUCCUAUGGGAAGAUAAUGACAGUACCAUAGAAGAAAGCUCCGGCUAAAUACGUG